UUUAUUAUACAUUUUUAUCAUGAGUUGUCAAAAGAUUGAGAUAAGAAAUUUGUAUUUAGUGUGAUUGUUGGAUUUAUUUGUCACUUAGUUACUUAUAAAACUAAUUUUUUUUAAAAAAUCAGAUUACAUUUUUCUUAAUAUGUGUUAAUGCCUAAUAUCUCCUUCAUUUAAUUAAUUAUUUUUCAAUAUCAAUAAUUAUUUCUUAUAUUUUCAAUAAUAAGUUUUUAUCUCUAAUAUUAUUAUGAAUUAUAUUUUGAAAAUCUUAAGUUUGCUUUGCUUUUAUUUUUGGAAUUUAUAAAAUCCAUGUUAAAAUAUUCUAAUUGUUUUGUUUACAGCUACUUUUCACUACCAAAACACAAAGAACCACUUCCAGAAGUUGUAGAGUUUCCUACAUUAUGCAAGCUUUUGUAUUUGCAUAAUAAUUUGCUUGAUAGUGUAGCUGUUAAAAAGUUCAAACCAUUAUCAGAGCUAACAUGAAAGCAUCUGAUAGAGUUGUUUAAAUUAGGGUAUACCGCAGUUUUUGCAAGACAGAUGUUGCAAAUAAAAUUAAAGCUUCAUAUUAAUGAAGAUUAUGAAGAAGCAUGUGUGGACAGUUCUAAGCUACCAUCAUUAUCUGUCAUAAAUCACUUGCCGAAUAAUAAAUUUACGAAAAUCUAUGGGUGAUGAAAAAAAAGUGAUAUCAUCAGAGAAAUUGAAAAAUAUUUUUUUCUUACAAUCAGCAACCAUUCUGUAAAGCUGCUUUUUCAAAAGAAAAGAACAGUUUGGCAAUUGUUAUAGUGACUCUGAUAAUGAUGCGAAGUAUGGAUUUUCUUGGUUCAAGAUAGAUAAUGGUUGAUGCAUCUGGCCACAUGGACAGAUUAAAUCGUCGUGUUUACUUUUUUAUGUCUCCAGGUGUAGCUGGAGGAGAACAUAUUGGGUGCAUCAUCACAAAUACAGAAGAAACUAUUGUUUUUCAUGAAGGAGUGGAAAUUCUUUGUGAGUGUUUUCCUGAAAAAUGUUUUUUAUUUGCAAAAUGGGCCACUGAUUGUAAUGGCAGAUGAUGAUCUAAAAGAAAGAGAACUUACUUUGUCAGUUUCAUGUGUUGAAAGCAGUCUGGUCUGGUUUAGUUGAAGAAAGUGUCAAAUGGAAGUUUGAAAACUCAUACAUUCAUCUUUAAUAAUAUGCUAGAAUCUAUUCUCUAGAAAAUUCUAUAAGAUAGUUUCAAUAUGAAAAGGGGUUUUAAAUCUUAACUACUUAAGCAGAAUUUUGAUGUGCAGCAGAAGGAGAGGCAAUCAAAUACCUGUCCAACCUAUAGUAAUUUCAAGAAGAAAAUCAAUUUAUAGUGGAAGAAAAACUAAAGUUAAUGGAAGACCAGUGAAGCGAGUAUUAUCACCUGUCUUAAAAGAACAUGCAUGUGGAAUUUUCUCUGAGUUACCUAAAAAUCAUCCAAAAAUAAAGCAUAGUUUGACACACUG